UCAGGAUUAACGCUGGCGGCGUGCCUAACACAUGCAAGUCGAACGGAAUAUCUUCGGAUAUUAGUGGCGAACGGGUGAGUAAAGUACAGGUAAUGUACCUCCGUACUGCGAAUAACAAGCUGAAAAGUUUGCUAAUACGGAAUAGUUUCUCGAGAGGCAUCUUUUGAAGAAUAAAGAUUUAUCGUGCGGAGAUCAGCCUGUAUCCUAUUAGUUAGUUGGUGGGGUAAUGGCCUACCAAGACGACGAUGGGUAACUGGUCUGAGAGGAUGAGCAGUCACAUUGGAACUGAGAUACGGUCCAAACUCCUACGGGAGGCAGCAGUGAGGAAUUUUGCGCAAUGGGGGAAACCCUGACGCAAGCAACGCCGCGUGAGUGAUGACGGCCUUCGGGUUGUAAAGCUCUGUCGUGUGUGACGAGUAGGGACGGUAACACACAAGGAAGCCUCGGCUAACUACGUGCCAGCAGCCGC
rnacentral:rRNA from 1 species